rnacentral:rRNA from 1 species
GACGAACGCUGGCGGCGUGCUUAACACAUGCAAGUCGAACGGAAAGGCCCUGCUUUUGUGGGGUGCUCGAGUGGCGAACGGGUGAGUAACACGUGAGUAACCUGCCCUUGACUUUGGGAUAACUUCAGGAAACUGGGGCUAAUACCGGAUAGGAGCUCCUGCUGCAUGGUGGGGGUUGGAAAGUUUCGGCGGUUGGGGAUGGACGCGCGGCUUAUCAGCUUGUUGGUUGGGUAGUGGCUUACCAAGGCUUUGACGGGUAGCCGGCCUGAGAGGGUGACCGGCCACAUUGGGCCUGCGAUACGGCCCAGACUCCUACGGGAGGCAGCAGUGGGGAAUAUUGCACAAUGGGCGGAAGCCUGAUGCAGCAACGCCGCGUGCGGGAUGACGGCCUUCGGGUUGUAAACCGCUUUCGCCUGUGACGAAGCGUGAGUGACGGUAAUGGGUAAAGAAGCACCGGCUAACUACGUG